rnacentral:rRNA from 1 species
GGCAAAUCCGGCACUCUUAAGAUUGAGCUGUGAUGGGGAGAGGAACUUGUUCCUCGAGUCGUUGAUUUCACACUGCCGAGAAAAGCCUCUAGCUAGAAUAACGGUGCCCGUACCGCAAACCGACACAGGUAGUCAAGAUGAGAAUUCUAAGGUGAGCGAGCGAACUCUCGUUAAGGAACUCGGCAAAAUGACCCCGUAACUUCGGGAGAAGGGGUGCUCUUUGAGGUUCACGCUUCGAAGAGCCGCAGUGAAUAGGCCCAAGCGACUGUUUAUCAAAAACACAGGUCUCUGCUAAACCGUAAGGUGACGUAUAGGGGCUGACGCCUGCCCGGUGCUGGAAGGUUAAGAGGAGUGGUUAGCGCAAGCGAAGCUACGAAUCGAAGCCCCAGUAAACGGCGGCCGUAACUAUAACGGUCCUAAGGUAGCGAAAUUCCUUGUCGGGUAAGUUCCGACCCGCACGAAAGGCGUAACGAUUUGGGCACUGUCUCAACGAGAGACUCGGUGAAAUCAUAGUACCGGUGAAGAUGCCGGUUACCCGCGACAGGACGGAAAGACCCCGUGGAGCUUUACUGUAGCCUGAUAUUGAAAUUCGGUACAGUUUGUACAGGAUAGGUAGGAGCCUUAGAAGCGUGAGCGCUAGCUUACGUGGAGGCAUUGGUGGGAUACUACCCUAAUUGUAUUGGAUUUCUAACCCGCAGCACUUAUCGUGCUGGGAGACAGUGUCAGGCGGGCAGUUUGACUGGGGCGGUCGCCUCCUAAAGAGUAACGGAGGCGCUCAAAGGUUCCCUCAGAAUGGUUGGAAAUCAUUCAUAGAGUGUAAAGGCAUAAGGGAGCUUGACUGCGAGACCUACAAGUCGAGCAGGGUCGAAAGACGGACUUAGUGAUCCGGUGGUUCCGCAUGGAAGGGCCAUCGCUCAACGGAUAAAAGCUACCCCGGGGAUAACAGGCUUAUCUCCCCCAAGAGUUCACAUCGACGGGGAGGUUUGGCACCUCGAUGUCGGCUCAUCGCAUCCUGGGGCUGUAGUCGGUCCCAAGGGUUGGGCUGUUCGCCCAUUAAAGCGGUACGCGAGCUGGGUUCAGAACGUCGUGAGACAGUUCGGUCCCUAUCCGUCGUGGGCGUAGGAAAUUUGAGAGGAGCUGUCCUUAGUACGAGAGGACCGGGAUGGACAUACCUCUGGUGUACCAGUUGUCGUGCCAACGGCAUAGCUGGGUAGCUAUGUAUGGACGGGAUAAGUGCUGAAAGCAUCUAAGCAUGAAGCCCCCCUCGAGAUGAGAUUUCCCAACUUCGGUUAUAAG